UACGUAGGGUGCAAGCGUUGUCCGGAAUUAUUGGGCGUAAAGAGCUCGUAGGCGGUUUGUCGCGUCUGCUGUGAAAACUCGGGGCUUAACCCCGGGCCUGCAGUGGGUACGGGCAGACUAGAGUGCGGUAGGGGAGACUGGAAUUCCUGGUGUAGCGGUGAAAUGCGCAGAUAUCAGGAGGAACACCGGUGGCGAAGGCGGGUCUCUGGACAUUUCCUGACGCUGAGGCACGAAAGCCAGGGGAGCAAACGGG
rnacentral:rRNA from 1 species